GGCAGAACUUAAGAUUCUAGGAAUAGGUGUAGGUGCACAAAGGGAAAAAGAAUUAGGGAGAGACAGGGAAAGCUAGUGGUCGUGUCCAGCAAUUGGGAUGCUGGCACACCCCUGACUAACCUGCUAGCCAAACUUGAGAGUUAUGAUCCAUUGUGGAUAUGGUUUGGGCAAUAAUAAGGAUACUGCUAUGCCAAUACCUUAACUUAGACACAUAGAAGGGAAUAUGAGCAGGGAUUCAUAACAGAAACAGAAGCAAGGAAGGAAAAUAAUUAGCACAAAUCACCAAACCUUAGCAGUAAGAUAAAAAAACUGUAACUGUAAGGAAAGCACAUAGGUGUGAAGCAGAAAAUCAAAUAAAGGACAUACCGUUUUUUAAGGUAAAACAAGUAAGAAAAUAUUAGCCUUGAGAGGGCCAAGUUGUAGUUCUAAAAUAUUUCAAACAAAGUGUUGAAUUCAAAAUAGUAUUGCAAGAAAGUAUGUGAUUCGGAGAGUUUUUGUUCGCGUGUAUUUCAGUAUUUUUUCGUCUUGUGAUUGCUGAGAAUCGACUGAUGAUAGAGACAUGGAGGACUAGGUUUUUAUAUAGUUUUGAAAACAAGAAAGGCAGGAAAAGAGUGCAUAAACAUGGAAAUAAUAAUCAAUUAGUGUCAAUUAAGACAACUGGAUUCCUUUAAUUAAGGAGUCUAGUUCAAACGGUUAGUCAAGACAGAAUAAGGAAGAAAAUCAAUUUAAU
rnacentral:lncRNA from 1 species